rnacentral:rRNA from 1 species
GACGAACGCUGGCGGCGUGCUUAACACAUGCAAGUCGAACGGAAAGGCCUUUUCGGAGGUACUCGAGUGGCGAACGGGUGAGUAACACGUGGGUGAUCUGCCCUGCACUCUGGGAUAAGCCUGGGAAACUGGGUCUAAUACCGGAUAGGACCGCACUUUAGUGUGUGUGGUGGAAAGUUUUUUCGGUGUAGGAUGAGCCCGCAGCCUAUCAGCUUGUUGGUGGGGUAAUGGCCUACCAAGGCGGCGACGGGUAGCCGGACUGAGAGGUUGGUCGGCCACAUUGGGACUGAGAUACGGCCCAGACUCCUACGGGAGGCAGCAGUGGGGAAUAUUGCACAAUGGGCGCAAGCCUGAUGCAGCGACGCCGCGUGGGGGAUGACGGCCUUCGGGUUGUAAACUCCUUUCGCCAGGGACGAAGCGUUUUGUGACGGUACCUGGAGAAGAAGCACCGGCUAACUACG